GGACCCUCAGAGAACACAAUAUUCUCUCCGUUCUUUAUAUAUAUUUCACACAGGCCCUCCUCAUCAGAGAGUAACAACAAUACCCAUACACUGACCUCACCGUCACACACCCAUAUACACUACACACUCUUAAUUCCACCGGGAUACACGCAGAAAUGGAUAGAUAAGAGAUGACGUGAGAAAGAGAGAGCUGCGAGAGAGUGAGAGAGAUCUGCGAGAGAGUGACAGAGAUUUGCAACGGAGGGAGAGAUUCGCGAUUGAAAUCGAAAGAGAAUGAUGGUGAAGUAGUUUCCGGCGAGUGAGAGCUUGAGGAACACGAGUUUGGUGGUUUGAUUACUGUUCUGGCGACAGGCUCACCGGAAUCGCGUCUAGCUAUCAUAAAUUCGUUCAAAACCCAUCGAAUACGUCUCAACUGAUAGCUCUUUGUCGUUUUGGUCAUAGCCGAAGUUUACCGGGGUUACACCUACACAAAAUCAUCAAAAAAACCUCGAUCUACUUUUGAUUCCGUCCAAACCCAUUGGAAUCGGGCUGAAUUUCUCUUAUUUCUCACGAUUUUUAGUUUGAGGUUGUGUGUGUUCGUGAGAAUCUGGUCCAGGUCUCUUUGUUUCUAUGAUUCUCAGUUCCGAGUUGGAUGAGUUUGUUUGUUUGAGGUUCGUUUGUUUGAGGUUCGAUUCAAGGUUUCCGGGCGCGGAUUCUCUUUAUUCAAAUAACAGAGUUUGAAAGCUACGAAUCGAGGUCCAAUUCUAUUAUCUCUCUUUUUAUUUCAUUAUUUACUGUAUUUUGGUGUGUUGGAUUAAAUAUUGUGUGUUUUGUUUUAUCCUUGUUGGUGAUGAACGGAUUUUUAUUUUGAUUCGCGGUUGGUUUCUUUGAUUAUGAUUUGUAUGGUGAAAUAAAAUCUCAUUUGAGAAUUAAAAUUGGUUUUUUGGGGCGGAAUUAAAAUUGAUAAAAGUGAAUACGCAUUUGUUUUAAUUCAUUAUUAGCGGUUUAAUUUGGAAUAACCAUGAAUUUUGUUGAAACAGAUAGGCAAAUGUAGGUUUGGGUAGGCAAAUUUAGAACUUUUUUCUGGUUGAAUGUUUGAAUGUGCGUGGGCUGUACUUGAUUCUAAUGUAUUCAUUUGGUCGGGGAAUGCCCUGAGAGAUUUGUAUUGAUUUAUCCGGAGAAUGCUCCGAAGUAUCAUGUACGCAGAGGAGGCUCGUGAUCAAGGCCCGAGGCAUCGAGUAAGGCAUUGGAACGCAGUUUUAGGAUUAGCUUAAAAUAGGAUUUAUAUUUUAGUAUUUUUCUAAUUAGGACUGUAUAAUUGACUGGACACUAAAUUUUGAAUUGUUUCGUUUUGUUUGCUUGAUUGAUUGUCUUACAUGCUUUGUGUGGUUUAUACAUUUAUAAUGUCAAAUUAACCGAUACGAUCUACCAAGCGACCGUGGUCGAACAACGGGAUCAAGGGGUGCCUAAUACCUUCCCCUCGGUCAACAGAAUUCCUUAGCCGAAAUCUCUAUUCACAAACCAGUUUAAAGAGUCAAAUUGUGUUGAAAGGGAUUUCCAAAGGUGACUUUGUACACCCGAUUUAUGCCAAGUGGCGACUCUGAGUUUUGAUUAUAAGAAGUCCUUUCGGAACAAAUCUUCAUUUUGUCACUUUAAUAAUAAAAACUCUUUCGAACUAAAAUCAAAUCUUAUGAAGUUGUAAAAAAAAAAGGUGUAACAGCUCCGGCGACUCUACUGGGGACUCUUCAGAAUUUGAGUUAUUUUUGGAGUUGUAUCAGCUUAGUUUGGCACUAUAGGUGUAUAGACAUUUUGUUUGAGUUGUUUUGUGUUAUUGUUUAUCAUUGUUGAUAGCCUACGUGCUUUUUGUUUACAAUUUUUAUCAUGUGUUACUGCUUUAUAUCUGGCAUCAUGUGCAUAACCCGAGUCAUUUAUUCUACAACAAGUCCUGGAGUGCGCGUCGUGCACACAAACUCUAGUUGAGUCACCCUUAUUUUAGGAGGGGAAACUGUCGGACGUAUGGAGUGAGUGGAAAGCAAAGCAGCCACUAUCGACCAUAUUCUCCACCGAAUAGCCUUGUUAGUAAACCCUAAUGUAGGUCAGCCUUUAGGUCAUGCUUAUCUACAUUAUAUUGAGACUUAGUGGGACCCACUUGGCCUUUUGUAGGAGACUCACCUCUAAAGCAUCUCUAUGUGCUAAAUGUUGCAACUUUGAGGGUAACUUGAUCAUUUGAUGGACUCAUUCGGAGAAAACAUUUGUUAGAAGUAAGAUGCGUUUUAAAAAAAGGAAGAAAAAAGUGAGUCGAAAAGUAAAAAAAUGAGUUUCGUAGUUUUUAGAAUUCUUUAUGGCUUUUGUUUUUCACAAUCCAAAAUUUCAAAAAUAUUUUUUUUUACCUUUUGCACUCAUUUUGUCAAAGACAAAAAUAUCAAAAAGAUUUUUCUUUGUUUCUUUAAUAAGCUUUCAUAAUUUGAAAAUUUCAAAAAAAGAUUUCUUUUAAUAGGAGCUUUUUAUAAAAUUCAAAAAAUAUGGUAGAAGUUUUGUACAUUUCAUAUAACAAAAAUAACAAAAAGAUUUUCUUUCAUAGCUGUUGGUGUCAUUUUUUAUGUGAAGUGUCAAAUUGAAAACUCAAAAAAAGAUUGUUUUGUUGUUCAUCGUAUGUCUUUGGUCAUGUCUCAAGUCAGGGUGCAAUCUGUGAUUUAAUCAUUAAUUGUCCAAUCUGGACGAACUAAGCACCCCUGAUUCUCCUUUCUCGGGAUUGAGAUACGUAGGCACCCUAUUGUGGUUUCGGGGAUCUUAUUUCAAAAAUCCAAAAAAAAAAAUUCUUCACUUUUCAUUUAGAGUAGGUGUUUCAUGUACAUCUUUAAAAGAAAACAACAAAAAAAAUAUAUCUUCCUUUAAAAGGUUCAAGUUUCAUUUUCGUAUGAAAUUCAAAAUCGAAAAUCCAAAAAUAUUUUCUUCGGUAACCAUAGAUUUCAUUUUGUACAGGAAUCUGAAAAAAUUCAAAAGAUUUUCCUCACUCUUUAUUUAGAGUAAGUAUACAUCUUCAAAAGAAAAAUACAAAAAGAUUUUUCUUUAAUAGGUUCAAGUUUCAUUUUCAUAGGAAAUUCAAAAUCAAAAACCCAAAAAGAUUUUUUUUAGUAAUUAUAGAUUUCAUUUUGUAUAAAGAUUUAAACUUGAAAAAUACAAAACGAUUUUUGUCAAUUCUUUUGACAAUUUGUUAUUUUUUUCUCUUUGAAGUUUCAUGAAAAAGAAUGAAAAAAAGAGAGUUUAAUUGGUCAUUUUGGCAAGACUUCACGAACUAUGCAUACCUGAUUCUCCUCUUUCGGGAGUGAGAUACGUAGGCGCCUUUCUUGGGUUCGGUGAUUUAAAAAAAAAAAAGGGGAAAAGAGGUUUUGAAAAAGUGUUGAACUUUAACACAUUUGUUGUUUUUUGUUGAGUCAGUUUAAGGUGGUUGGUUUCUGGCAUUUUGGUUGAUCCUUCACCUCACACCAAAUCUAAAGGGUUAGUUGUGUCCAACAAUAAAUAAGGAAAAUGAGAGUUUGAAGUAAGAGAUUAGGUGGCUAAGACAACAAAUGAAAGAAAUACAUCGAGCUUGGGCCAGUGGGUUGCCUCCUCUUCCAUUUCCCUUUAUUAAUCCUACAAAUACCUCGAGUUUUCCACCAAAAUCUCAAAUUCAAUUUUCUACUAUUGUUGAUGCACCACAACAUGACUCAGAAUUCAUUCCAAGCCAAAAGCAUCUCAAUACUUCCACCACUUUUUCUCUAGCCCCUCAGCAUAAGCCUGCUACAUUCACAACACCACAUGUCGUCUGUGAUCUUAUUGCUCAAUCCUCUACUAGGACUUCCACACUGUCUUGCCCAACGGUAGGGCGUCCCCAUGUAGCUAGUGAACUUAUAUUUAAUACUCUUGGUGAUCACUGUUAUACUCCUGAGCCUGCUUUUAAGUUAACUGCACCACCAAAAUUUCUUAACAAGAAGUCCAGUGUGCCAAAAGAGUCAGAGAAAAUGGUUGGAAAAAUGAAAAGUGUAGAAAAUGCUAUGAAAAAUUGUCUAGGACCUGCGGGUAAAGAAGAUGUUUCAUACAAAGACUGGGGCAUGCCUUCAAGCGCUAACCUUCCUCCAAUAUUUGAGAUGUCAAAAUUUGAGGAGCAAAAUGGGCAUGAGGAAUCCGUGAAACAUAUGAGACAAUAUUGCAAUCAAUUAAGGGAACCUGGAGGGAAGAAGAAUGAGAAAUAUGGCACUUCUAUUGUAGUUGGAGAACGGGCACAUCCAAGAAUACGAUGUCGUCAUUGCCGUCAGUCUCAAGCCCAAGUUCAUACCCAAGCUCUCCAUAAUCACUCCCAAAAUCCAUUAUACCCUGUUUCCUCACCUCCAUAUCUAGUAUAUUGCACAUAACCAUAUGUUCAACUCCCUCUUUACCCACAAUGGUGUGCACCAACUCCUCAAAGUCAUCCUCUGAUUCCCCAAACAUACCAAAGCCCUUCUAGGCCCGAUGUUCGAUCCAAGUUAAACAAUGGAAUAAGGUAGAAAUUGAGGGAUAGUUUCACACCAACUGGAGAGUCGUAUGCCAGUUUAUUUCAGAGAUUGGCACAAAAAGACAUGAUCACUCCUCUCCUUGGGUAUACUCCUAACCCACAUUCAAGAAGUUUUGAUCCUAAUAUACGAUGUGUAUAUCAUUCUGAUGAUCAGGGUUAUAGUAUUAAGAUUGUCAUUCUUUGAAAAGAGAAAUUAAAAAGAUGAUUUAAGAAAAAUUGAUUAUGGUGCAGAACAUUGACAGUGAGAAUAAAUCUAGUUAUACUGAUAUGCAAACCAGUGGCUAAGAUAUCAGGCUGAGGAAUUGAUAAGUCACCCUUCUCCCUACUAGGAAGAGGUCUGGUAGUUUGUUUUGUUUUAUUUUCUAUUAUCCAAAUUAUUUCAGGGUUGUAGUUCGGGAUCUAUCUUGUUUUGUCCAUUUGUUGUUAUGUUCAAACCCUUCUAUCUUUUAUUUUAAUUAAAUGAAGUGUCCCUUUCUCCUUUGUGUUUUAAAUAUGUUUUUGUUUAUUUUCUUUCCACAUUACACUUUAUGUUGACUCUAGUGAUACGACAUGCUAACGAAAUUUUCAGUCAGAUCUUAAAAUCCAGUUUAAGCAUGAACAUUGAAUCAGAGGGUUAAAGUUAGAAAAAGAGAGCAUCUAAGAAAAUAGGUACAGAGCUGAGACAUUUGGGGACAAGUUCAAGCCUUCUUGGAAAAUUAAGGCAAUUAUUUUGAGAAUCACAAGAAUAACUUGGUCAUUAAUUGAAAGACAUGGCUCAAUUAAGUCAAAGAGUGGCUGCGUGAACAGAAAGAAAAUCAGCUCCACGAAAGCAUGAGUCAUUCGAUGUGAGGAAUGUACAACAAAAGUGGACUGAUAUUGUGAACAAAGUGCAAGAGUAGUGACGCACAGACUCAGUAAAAGUUAAUGUUAAAAAAUGUCACAAAUGAUCAUCAUCUCUCACUUUCAUAUUGCAUUAUAUGUACUUGCAUUUUUAUGGAUUGAUAUGAUGAAGGCAUUUUACUCUGCUAUCCAAACAUUGUGUCAUCCUUUGUUUACCCAAUGUGAGCUUUAGUCUUAUUUUCUUUCAUACCACUCUUUUCGAAUCAAGAUAGAGUCAGCAAAGCUCAAAAGAAAAGUGUCGAGCAAAACAAUAGAGUCAGAAAAAGUUCAAAAAAAAAAGAAGAAAAAAAAAAUAUGUCCAAAAAGAAAAAGAAAAUAAAAGUUCCAAGACAAAUAAAGUCAGAAAAAAAUCCAAAGAGAAAAGAGUGUCAAUAAAAGAAAAAGAAUCAAAAGUGUAAAUCAUGCAAAAUAAGCUGCCAGAACUAUGCAUGACUUGAUUCUUCUCUCUCGGGGGUGAGAUACGUACGCUUCCCUACUAAGGGCUUGGUCCAACCAAAUAAACAAUUUAGAAUUGCCCAGUCAAAAGAAAAUGGGGCAUGAUUUAAUAUUCAUUGUUUGAGUCGAUUCCUAAAGUUGUAAGUCCUACCCCACUUCAAGUGUCGUUUAGGCCUCAUGUUAUCCUUUUCUUCUAACCUUAUCCAAAAGCCAAGCUACAACCAAAGAAAGACCUUUAGAUCAAGCUUUGAGAAUGUUAAGACUAAGCAUGCAAUGAAUAUGAUGACGUAUUUUGGGAACUACUUGUCUACCUCAGCAAUAAGAAUCGGGAGAGAAAUAAAAAUGACAGUCUUAUCAGUGAAAACCCUCAUGGGCACCGUAAGAUGAUGGUAAGCUGAGGGAAAUAAAAAUAAGAGAGUCUUAUUAGUGAAAACCCUCACGAGCACCGUAAGAUGAUGGUAAUCUGAGGGAGAUAAUAAUGAGAGAGUCUUAUCGGUGAAAACCCUCACGGGCACCAUAAGAUGAUGGUAAGCUGAGGGAAAUAAAAAUGAGAGAGUCUUAUCGGUGAAACCCUUACGGGCACUAUAAGAUAAUGGUAAGCUGAGGGAGAUAACAAUGAGAGAGUCUUAUCGGUGAAAACCCUCAUGGGUAUCGUAAGAUGAUAGUAAGCUGAGGGAGAUAACAAUGAGGGAGUCUUAUCAGUGAAAACCUUCACGGGCACUGUAAGACGACGGUGAGUUGAGACAAUAUAGGGCAAUAGUGAGCUGGGAAAAAGAAAAUGAGAGAGGCUUGUUCGCAAAAACCAUUCAAGGGGCCACUAGCCGAAUGAGGUCUUAAAUGCAAUUGGCUUAAGGAAGCAACUCAAUUUCAAGGUCAUAAACUCAACAACUAUUGGUAGAAAGUUUUGGAUAUAAAGAUCAGGCAGUUUAAUUUGAUAUGCAUGGCAUAAUCAUUAGAGUUGACUGUCAUUUUCUCAAUAAACUUUUCUUUCAUCUUUUUCAACGGGGACAUUAAUUAUUAUUUCUUUCUUCUCUUUGGUUAUAUUUUUAUUUUGUUGAGUUAGUUAUCCAAAUAAAACAAAAAUUGUUGUCAUUUUUCUCUUGUCUUUAAGUCAAGUCCAUGUCAAAACAAGUGAGAAAAGAUUUCAAAAUUGGCUACCAGCUUCUUCAAUUGUACAAAGCAAGACAAAGGGCCAGUACAUGAAAGAAAUAAGAUUGCAAGCCAGAACAAG
rnacentral:lncRNA from 1 species